UCCUCACUAUCCAUGGAUACUUCACAGAUACCGUAUGUCCAAUAUGUAUGUACCACUCAUCUUCAAUAAGGAAAUAAAAAAAUAUUUUUUUAUUCCAGUUUUAUCCACUAAACAAGAUUAAGUUUAUUUUGGUUUCCAUUUUCAGACCUCAAAACUUGAGCGUUCUUCCUUCUCAAUGCCCGGGCAACCAUCCAAUGCAUUCUUUAUGUUUCAGCCACCUCUUCCAUCUCUCCGCCGCUGCCAAUAUCAUCACCACCCAAAUCGGUUAAACAAAACUCCACCACCAUCAUCUUCAUCGCCGCCACCAGCACCAAAAACAUUUUGAAGAGAAGAUCCAGUUCUCUUAUCUUCUUUCUUCUUCUUUCUUCCUUUUGUUCUUUCAUUCCUUUAAUCGAAUGAUUUGUGAAUCAUGGAUGUUAAUCAUGAGAAAUUAACAUUAUAAUCAAAUAAAGAUUGGUGUUAUGAAGAUUGUAGAGCAAAAUUGGUUAGGAUUUGGUGUUAAUUGAGAAAAAGAGGAAUUCGAGGAAAUUACGGUUAGAAUAUCAAGAAUUGAAUGAAGAUUUCGAGUGAAAUUGGAGGUGAAAUCAAGCAAGAAAUCAUGGGUAUGUUGUGUUACGAGCAAGAGAAAGUGGGUAGCAAAAAACUGAUUCUCCAUUAUCAAGAAUGAAUCAGUGAAUUAUGGUUUUCAAAGUUUAUUAGAAACUCAAUUAGGGAUGAAUAAUAAGAAAGUAAAGGAUGGGUCUGCUUGAUUUGAAGACCAUGAUUGGGAAUUUGACCUCGAGUAAGGGAAAAGAGGAUUCGGGGAUGUAUUUUAGAGUUUCUGAGAAUCGGUAAUGGUGAUGAGUAAUUUUAUUGGAUGUUGGUUGAUUUGAAUUGGAGGAUUGUUGAUAAUCGUGAGGUGGGUUGUUGAAUCAACUCAAAAUAAAAAAGAAGCCGAUCUCAAAUAACUGUGUGAAAACAAGCUAAUAUUGGGCAAGUCUUUAUGUUGCUUAGUUUUAGUAUUUUGGAAUUACGUUGUGUAAAAUUGAUGAGUUGUGUUGUUGUGCAACAUAGAAAUGGAAGCAGAAAUUUCUAGUGAUGGAACUGCAGUGUGCUUAGAAUGGUGGUGAAGAUGAGGGCUGGGAGUUGUUAUUGAAGACAACAAAAACUAGAGAUGAGAUAUUAGCUGGGUCUGAGGAUGCAGGGCUGAAUUUCACAGUGUUUGUGAGGAACUUGGUGACUGUUUUCUAGAUAUUUAGGAGAUGGCUUGUGAUGGAGAUGUUCUUGAUGAUUCGGACGAAGCUGUAAUUGUUGACAUGGGUUUGAUAGUUAGAAGGAAUGAGGAACUGGACAUAAGAGAAAUUUGGUAGAGAGGAGAUGGAGUUUGCUGGGAUAGUAUGGAAAAGUUGGAUGGAGUUGGUAAUGUUGUUUUGUCUCUAUUGCAGAAUGAGGAAGGAGAAAAUGAUGUUGCUUUUGGUUGUUAAAUUUAAUGGCGGUGAAUGAUCUGUUCUUGGAAUUCUUCCAGUAGCACGAUAACUCUUACCAGCGGAAAUAAAAUGAGUUCGUUUGUAUUGAUUACCCAACUCUGAAAAAGUAAUAGUGCUCUAGCUGUUGUUCUUGACUAUUUAUACCUUUCUAUUUCAGGUGGUGUUUCUGGUGUUGUAGUUGUUGUUCAUGGAACCUAAGAGGCUGAGCGAUAUAAGGUUCUUGCACUAUUGGAGAUUUGGUAUAUUUGGAAAACAACAUUGGGGAAGUUUUCAUCUCGUCCAUACGAGUAUUUUCUUGUCUUAUCCCAUGGAGACUUACUCCUUGUUGGAAGAGAUUUUGUGUAAAUGACUUGGAGACUUCAUUGGGAUUCUGAAGCCAGA